UGGGGAAUAUUGCACAAUGGGGAAGACCCUGAUGCAGCAACGCCGCGUGAAGGAAGACGGUUUUCGGAUUGUAAACUUCUUUUCUUAGUGAAGAAGCAAGUGACGGUAGCUAAGGAAUAAGCAUCGGCUAACUACGUGCCAGCAGCCGCGGUAAUACGUAGGAUGCGAGCGUUAUCCGGAAUUACUGGGUGUAAAGGGAGCGCAGGCGGGACUGCAAGUUGGAUGUGAAAUACCGCAGCUUAACUGCGGACUGCAUCCAAAACUGUAGUUCUUGAGUGGAGUAGAGGCAAGCGGAAUUCCGAGUGUAGCGGUGAAAUGCGUAGAUAUUCGGAGGAACACCAGUGGCGAAGGCGGCUUGCUGGGCUCUAACUGACGCUGAGGCUCGAAAGUGUGGGGAGCAAACAGGAUUAGAUACC
rnacentral:rRNA from 1 species